rfam:Myotis davidii contig109619, whole genome shotgun sequence.
CCAAAGGCUCUUUUCAGAGCCCCUCAACUCUCAUGAGGGAAGAG